rnacentral:rRNA from 1 species
AACGCGAAGAACCUUACCUACCUUUGACAUGUCUGGGAUCUUGUAGAGAUAUGAGAGUGCCGUAAGGAACCAGAACACAGGUGCUGCAUGGCUGUCGUCAGCUCGUGUCGUGAGAUGUUGGGUUAAGUCCCGUAACGAGCGCAACCCCUGUAUUUAGUUGCUAACGAGUAAAGUCGAGUACAUUAAAUAGACUGUCGGUGAUAAACCGGAGGAAGGUGGGGAUGACGUCAAGUCCUCAUGGCCCUUAUGGGUAGGGCUACACACGUGCUACAAUGGGCAGUACAGAGGGAAGCGAAGCCGCGAGGUGAAGCAAAUCUCAGAAAGCUGUUCGUAGUCCGGAUUGGAGUCUGCAACUCGACUCCAUGAAGUUGGAAUCGCUAGUAAUCGCAGAUCAGAAUGCUGCGGUGAAUACGUUCCCGGGCCUUGUAACACCGUAGUAC